rnacentral:rRNA from 1 species
AAUGAACGUUGGCGGCGUGGAUUAGGCAUGCAAGUCGAACGGACCAUGGUAGCAAUAUUAUGGUUAGUGGCGCAAGGGAGAGUAAUACGUAGGUAUUUACCCUGGGGUCUGGGAUAGCGGCGGGAAACUGCCGGUAAUACCAGAUGAUAUCUCCGGAUCAAAGGUGUGAUUCCGCCCUAGGAGAAGCCUGCGGUCUAUCAGCUAGUUGGUAGGGUAACGGCCUACCAAGGCAAAGACGGAUAUGGGGCGUGAGAGCGUGCCCCCACUCACUGGGACUGAGACACUGCCCAGACACCUACGGGUGGCUGCAGUCGAGAAUCUUCGGCAAUGGGCGCAAGCCUGACCGAGCGACGCCGCGUGCGGGAUGAAGGCCUUCGGGUUGUAAACCGCUGUCGAAGGGGAGGAAAUUGUAGUGGGUUCACCCAUUAUAUUGACCGAUCCUUGGAGGAAGGGCCGGCUAAUCUCGUGCCAGCAGCCGCCGUAAAAC